CCUGAGGCCUUCUAGGGAUAAUGUGUCAGUACUUCAGGUGGCUUCUGCAUGCCUCAAAGUACCUCAAACUUCAGUGCACUUUUAAGUACCCUUGAGCAUAGCGACACACGGUGUUCUGGGCCAGCUGGAAACAUAAACAUUACAAAGCAGCAGCAACCAUCUAUUACAUCUAACAUCAGUGAACUGCAACAAGAAAAGGAAAGGUCUGGGGAUUUGGGAGAUGAUGCUAGCUUUUGAAUUCUUGAAAAAAGAAAUCUUCAUUUAUUUUAUAAAGUAUAUAACAACAUCAAUCCACCUAGAGCUGCCAAAGAAAAUUCUGUUCUGUGUGAUCAAGUUCCUUAUUGGCUUGCAGUUCUGGAAGUGAUAUGCAUGCAAGAAAUUCAUCUAUCUGCUCACAUAUUACCAAUAGCUUAUGGCAUGGUUUGGUCUCUGGAUAUUGUUUGUUCUACUCCUUUAGGAAAAUGUCUGUUGGACUGGUUGUUAUUUCUGGAAAUAGCCCUUUUAGAGAAGCCUGGGAAAUAUCUGUUGAUCCAAGACAAAUGUGGAAACAUGGGAUUUUUGGCAAAAACUUACGAAAAGUAACAUUUCUGAAAUGAUAUGAUUAAGAAUCUUACAAUCUUUAUUCAAGUAAGCUAUCAUCAGCCUUAGCUGGGGUUCUCUAAUGUCUACAAGGAAGGAUUUCUACUUCUCUUUGUGUUCUCUUCCAUGUUUCACUGGUGAUUCUAGGAGUGUUUAAUGAUUAACUGAUUACUGAGAGCAGUUCAGCUUUAUAAUAAAUCAGCCCACUAAGAUUAGUAUUUAUCUCUCACUCUAGGAGAGUAGAUUAGGUUGAGGGUUUGGGAACUGAAGGCCUUCAGAGAUGGAAGUCCACUGGCAUCCUGCUCCAUCACAGUGACCACCCAGCUGGUACUGGGAGCUACUGGCAAGACCUGCUCUGCACUUCUGAGGCAAUGGCUGCACUGGGGCAGGAUUCUUCACAUCUGGGUGCCCAGCGUGGCAUGCCCAGCUGUAGCUCAGCGCAGAGUGACUAAGUCAACAAUUUAAAGUAGAAGUUCUGAGUUCUAAUGAAUAAAUACUAUAUUCAAGUGUAUAUUUAAGACAUUCUGUUUGUAAUUGUUGUAGAAAGUGAAUGUCGUGUUGCUGUUGAAGUGCCUGGUAGCAGUGACAGCAGCCCCCUUUGGGGGCCAGAAUGCUGCUGCAACUAUGGCUGAGGCUCUCUUCAGCCUGAGAUUUGCUCUCACUAGGAGAUGUUGUGUCUCUGUUAUUGUAUUUUAUUUUAUUUUUGUCUGGGAUUAAAGACAU
ensembl:lncRNA